CUAGUUGAAUCGAACUCAUGUCAACACCAGGAGUCUGUACAGAAAUCAUUCUCUCGUAGUUUGUUGGCUCUCUGGCCACCAGAGCAACCACCUCAUUCUACUGCCGAGGCAACCAACCCAGGACGAAAUGCGUAAUUAACAGGGUCAAAAAUUUAUGUUACACAAUUUGUGUUCAUGCUUACCAAUUACAUGUUGCUUUUUUCUAUUGGUUGAUUUUAGUAUAAUUUUAAUUAUAAGUAAAAAGUGGUUCAACAACUACAAAUAUCAACCCGUAGAAAGAAGGAACACACAAAUAAGACAUAAAUUGUGAGAUAGGAGAUUCGUAUACUCCAUAUUGGAUAACCCAGCUAUUUCUAUCCCUAAAAAGUAUGUAAAAUACAAAUUUAUGCUAUUAUGUAUCA